rnacentral:rRNA from 1 species
CCUACGGGAGGCAGCAGUGGGGGAUAUUGCACAAUGGGGGGAACCCUGAUGCAGCGACGCCGCGUGGGUGAAGGAGCGUUUCGGCGCGUAAAGCUCUAUCUGCAAGGGAGAAGAUGACGGUACCUGACCACGAAGCCCCGGCUAACUACGUGCCAGCAUCCGCGGUAAUAAGUAGGGGGCAAGCGGUAUCCGGAUUUACUGGGUGUAAAGGGGGCUCAGACGGGAAUGAAAGCCAGGAGUGAAAGCCCUGGGCCCAACCCCCGGACUGCUCGUGAAACUGCUUGGCUGGAGUACAGGAGGGGCAUGCGGAAUUCCUAGUGGAGCGGUGAAAUGCGUAGAUAUUAGGAAGAACACCGGUGGCGAAGGCAGCAUGCUGGACUGUGACUGACGUUGAGGCCCGAAGGCGUGGGGAGCAAACAGGAGUAGAUACCCGUGUAGUC